rnacentral:misc_RNA from 1 species
GCUUAGUCAUAAAAUAUUUACUUACACCUUUUAACGCCAGGGUAUUACGAGCCUCAGCUUAAAACCCAAAGGACUUGACGGUGUCCCACCCAUCUAGAGGAGCCUGUUCUAUAAUCGAUACCCCCCGCUAUACCCUACCACUUUUAGCCUAUCAGCCUGUAUACCUCCGUCGUAAGUUUACCGUGUGAACGUCUAUAGUGAGCUAAAUGACUUUUCGCCAAUACGUCAGGUCAAGGUGCAGCCCAUGAAGUGGCAAGCAAUGGGCUACAAUUUCUAACCUAGAACAAACGGAUGAACUGUAAUGAAACAGUUUAGAAGGAGGAUUUAGUAGUAAAAAGAAAACAUAAGUGUUCUUUUUAAUUUGGCACUGGGACGUGUACACACCGCCCGUCAUCCUCUUCACAGCAAACUUAUGUCUUUGACUAAUUUACACCCUAGAAGAGGCAAGUCGUAACACGGUAAGUAUACUGGAAAGUGUGCUUGGAAUAACAAAAUGUAGUUUAACUAAACCCCCUCGCUUACACCGAGGUAAUAUCUAUUUAACCCAGAUCAUUUUGAGCCUUAACCUUAGCCCUUCUUCCCCCCAUGACUUCGCACAUUAUCUUUUUCUCUUAAAACAUUUUAUUCGCUUUAGUAAGGGUGACUAAAAAACCAAUAGGCGCUUUAAAUUAAGUACCGCAAGGGAAUGAUGAAAUAAAAAUGAAAUAAUUUAUCAAGCACAAAAUAGCAAAGACUCAAACUUG